rnacentral:lncRNA from 1 species
GGACAUACAUAUAUGGGCGUUCCUAAAAUAAACAUUCUGACAACACUGUAGGGACAUACAUAUAUGGGCGUUCCUAAAAUAAACAUUCUGACAACACGUACGGACAUACAUAUAUGGGCGUUGCUAAAAUAACAUUCUGACAACACUGUAGACCAGGGAAGGCAACAACUCCAGCUCCUCUGGGACGGACCCGGUUCUGUGUCACUCCAAAGAUUGAAAAACAGACGCUGCUUUUGAAAGAAAACCCAUCGUAAAAAUACAGUUCUCUAAUAUCAAACCAAUAUUCCUAAAAAUAAAUAAAAACAACUAUUUUAUUAGAUACUGUUGAUAACGGGUAAUUUACAGAAACAUUGAAGGACACAAGAUUUGAUUUCAGGUGUUGAUAGAAAAAUGACUCCAAAGCAAAAAGGACUUUCUAGUUUAAGAACCAAUACAAAAUGGAAUGUUCUGCAAAUUAUUUGGGCUUUAAUAAUAUAUUUUUAAUCAAAUUUAACAUGUUGACGAUUUGUGGCUUGAAACUAAAACCCACUCACCAAAAGGUGUUUAAAUGAUGUUUAAAAAUAGUGGCCACACUUAAAGGGUACCAAUUCAAGGAUAUUAAAGGACUACAAGGAGUCCCCACACGUCUAAAAAUAAUAAUGAAUAUACUUGAUCCAUAUUAAUUAUUGUUUUUAUAGAAAGAACGUGAUCUCUCCAGAAAUACCGGCAGAUUUUCUACAAGUGGUCACCCACACAUUGGAUUCUCACCAGAAGUAAGACAGACAGAUUUCUCUAGAAGUGGUCACCCACACAUUGGAUUCUCAGCCAGAAGUACAGACAGAUUUUCUAGAAGUGUUCACCCACACAUUGGAAUUCUCGACGCAGAAGAUACAGACAGAUUUCUAGAAGUGGUCACCCACACAUUGGAUUCUCAGCCAGAAGUACAGACAGAUUUUCUAGAAGUGGUCACCCACACAUUGUAUUUCAGCCAGAAGUACGACAGAUUUUCUAGAAGAGGUCCCCAACAUUGGAUCUCAGCCAGAGUACUGGCAGAUUUUCUAGAAGAGGUCACCCACACAACUGUAAUCAUUUUAAGUAUUUAGUAAUGAUUCUCUAAAACUCGAAACCCUUGAAAUGGCACCUUGGCACAAAGUUGUAUCAAAAAGGAAAUGAAAGCCCAUGUUGAGCAGGGAAAAUUACAGUCAUCUCAGAUCUAGUGUAGGGCUGGUCAAGAUGGAAUGGCCCCCUGUUCAGAAAGAUGGGUAAAGUAGGAGUUUUUAGUUAUGAUUUAUCUAGUUACAGUUAA